CAGGACUAAAGCAGGACUGAACCAAGGCUGAACCAGGACUGAGCAGGGUCCAUGAUGAGGAGGCUGCAGUGGGAUGGAGGCUCUCUGAGGAUCGGGGGCUGAGUCCAGGUGAGCCUGGGGGCGGAGUCACCUGUCAGGGGGCGGCGUCACCUGCAAGGGAGUGGAACCUGCCGGUGACCUGUUGCCGUGACGAUGAUAGCAACAGGAGGACUGCUGCGAAUCAACGCACGCCGCCAAGACUCACUCCGUUCCAAACCCCGAGUCAAACCCAAGAAGCCCCGAAAGAAGAGGAGACAGGAGGUGGUGGUGGUCCCUGGGCGGAUCCAGGUCUGCUCGGUCUCGGGUCUGGUGGCGGUCCUCGGG